rnacentral:rRNA from 1 species
CCUACGGGUGGCAGCAGUAGGGAAUCUUCCACAAUGGGCGAAAGCCUGAUGCAGCAACGCCGCGUGAGUGAAGAAGGGUUUCGGCUCGUAAAGCUCUGUUGGUAGGGAAGAAAGAUAGAGGUAGUAACUGGCCUUUAUUUGACGGUAAUUACUUAGACAGUCACGGCUAACUACGUGCCAGCAGCCGCGGUAAUACGUAGGUGGCAUGCGUUGUCCGGAUUUAUUGGGCGUAAAGCGAGUUCAGGCGGUAAAAUACGGCUGAUGUGAAAGCCUUCGGCGCAACCGGAGAAGUGCCUCAGAAACUGGUGAACUUGAGUGCAGAAGAGGAGAGUGGAACGCGAGGUGUAGCGGUGGAAUGCGUAGAUAUAUGGAAGAACACCAGUGGCGAAGGCGGCUUUCUGGUCUGCAACUGACGCUGAGGCUCGAAAGCAUGGGUAGCGAACAGGAUUAGAUACCCGUGUAGUC